AGAUUGAACGCUAGCGGGAUGCUUUACACAUGCAAGUCGAACGGCAGCGCGGACUUCGGUCUGGCGGCGAGUGGCGAACGGGUGAGUAAUAUAUCGGAACGUGCCCAGUAGCGGGGGGAUAACUACGCGAAAGCGUGGCUAAUACCGCAUACGCCCUACGGGGGAAAGGGGGGGAUUCUUCGGAACCUCUCACUAUUGGAGCGGCCGAUAUCAGAUUAGCUAGUGGUGAGGUAAAGGCUCACCAAGGCGACGAUCUGUAGCUGGUUUGAGAGGAACGACCAGCCACACUGGGACUGAGACACCGGCCCAAGACCUCCUACGGGAGACAGACAGUAGGGAAAUAUUAGGAACAAGUGGGGCGCAAAGGCCUGGAAUCCAGACAAUGCCGCGUGAGUGAAGUAGAAGGCCGUUAAGGGUUAGUAAAGCUUCCUUUUUAACCCGAGUAUAGAAUAAUACGAA
rnacentral:rRNA from 1 species